rnacentral:rRNA from 1 species
UACAGGGGGGGCAAGCGUUGUUCGGAAUUACUGGGCGUAAAGGGCUCGUAGGUGGCCAACUAAGUCAGACGUGAAAUCCCUCAGCUUAACUGGGGAACUGCGUCUGAUACUGGAUGGCUUGAGUUUGGGAGAGGGAUGCGGAAUUCCAGGUGUAGCGGUGAAAUGCGUAGAUAUCGAGAGGAACACCUGCGGCGAAGGCGGGUUGCUGGGCCGACACUGACGCUGAUGCGCGAAAGCCAGGGGAGCGAACGGG